CGGCCGGCCCCGCCGCCCUGCGCUGCGCUGCGCUGCGCCGCCAUCCCAGGGGAGGCCGCACCGCGCGUCGCCAUGGCAACCGGGCCUGCGCCUGGGGACGGGCCUGGGCACAACUCCUCCUCCUCCUCCUCCUCCUCCUCCUCCUCCUCCUCCUCCUCCUCCUCCUCCUCCUCCUCCUGCUGGACAAGCCCCGGACUCGGCCUGCCGGUGCCCGCGGUCCCGGUGUUGGCCGCUGCAGAGCGGUUUUGUGCCGCGUUUUGGCCGUCAGCGUGUGAAACUCCAUGCGUUGGCUUAAAUUAAAGAGUGUGAAGCGAAAGCCUCGCAAGCAGCAGUAGAUAGAACAGCGAUGCUUGUCCCACCUAAUCUCCAAUCACUCUGCCUGGAACACCAUCAUUAUAGUCAUAUUUGGGCUUGCAGUUCCCAUACAUGUUGAAGCGUUACUUCUCCUCACAGUUACUUUAGGAGAUGUGUCCUGUCCUGAUACACACAGUUUCUUGGGACAUCAUGCAGAGUCAGCCCUCCAGGAGCUGAGAGCUGGAGGUGCCACCACCUUCAGUUCUCCAGGGAAAUAGCUUGCUCCUUCAGAAACUCUGUGCUCGGAGAGAAACCCCACGGUUCUACAGUCAUUUUAGCUGCAAGGUCUGUAGCUUGCUGCGCUAUUUGGCUAGACAGCGUGCGUGGCUAGACAGGUGAGCUAAAACUAGGAGCAGCUAGGUUGUCCUGUGACCGAUUUCUUGUGACACUUUCCCCUCUUGCACUAGGAUGGAUUACCCACAAGCCGCCAGCGGGGCAGCCGGUAUCUUGGUUUCUAUCUAAUCCUCCCCAAAGUACGAGCUCCCCACCGUUGGCAGCUGUCUGGAGGCUGCUGCAAAGGAUGAAAGAGUCUAGUUAUGAGCGAGCCCUCAAACUAACCUCACCCGCUGACUGUGGUGAAGUCAAGUCACAGCGCUGUCUUUCCAGGAAAAGUUUACUUAAUAUUUCUGCCCCGUGAUGUUUCAAAGAGAGCUUCAGGGAGAGCUCUCACUGGUGGGCAAGUUGGGUUCUUCAGAUGUACUUGAGCAAGAAUGCCGUGAGCAAGCUUUCGUUACUCAUCUGAUGCUUUCUGUUAAUGUCAGUUGAUGCCUGAGGGUCCCCCGUAGGGUUCGACCGUUUUGGUAGUUGGCUCUUAGGAGGUUUUUGAUAGCAAGAGCACGUAACAUGUGUGGUGAGCUGCUGUCCCAAGGGAAGAGUAGUUGGGGUGCUUGGCUGUAGGCUGGGGAGAGCUGACUUCAGCACAGAGUCACUGCUCACUGCUGGCUCCCAAAGCCUUGGGUUAAAGAGGAUGAGAAAGGUGGGAUCUUGGUGGUGCUCAAUCUAGUCACUUUUUUUUUGUUCUUUCUUCAGUUUAAAUACGUGGGCAGUGAUUCCACCAGUGUAGUGAGCUUGAGCAGAAGGCAAGUUAGAACAAGGACAGAGCUCUGGGGAAAGCAGACAAAGACGAACAGGACAUGGAGCCAGAAUGGCUCUUUAGGGUGUGCUAGAGAAGCAAAACAGACUCACAGAAUUGUAGGGGUUGGAAAGGACCUCCAAAGAUCAUCGGGUCCAACCCCCUGCCAAAGCAGGUUCCCUAGAGCAGGCUGCCCAGGUAGGCAUCCAGACGGGCCAUGAAUAUCUCCAGAGAAGGAGACUCCACAACGUCCCCGGGUUCCCUUUAUGUUGUUUCCCCAGGCUCAGAUAAUCCUUAAUUCUUGGUGCUGGGAGUAAACCCUUUAUGGCGAUGCCGUCUGUGAUCAGGCUACUUGAUAACAGUUUCUUUGACUUCAAAAGGCAUACAGUAAAAAUAAAUGCUUAAAAUAUUUAUUUUUAAAAUACUUAAAAUAUUUAUUUAAAAAAUAUACAUAUUUUUGCAAUUACACUUGAUGGUAAGAAAAUCUGGUAUUACUGUGACGACAUUGUGCAAUCUUUGAGUACUUGUACAAAAAUAAAUCAUUGAGGAGUAUCUUUCCUGAGCAGUUUGUAGCUUCAGGUAGACAGGAAUAUUUCAUCUGGUGAAGUCAUUCCAGAAACCAAACUGUAGCAACACAGCGCGCCCUGGUUCCUUAUUCUGAAGAAGUUUUAACUGGCAUUGCUUUCCUGGUUCCCUUGUUUUUCUUUUCAUCGCAUGGCAAAAAUGCGCCAGCUUCAUGGUUCGGGUCUGACAUCGUAAGCACAAGACGAUGUGGUUUGUUAAUGUCACCCUUUGGUUGCAGCUUAUGCCUGUGGUAACACUAAAAAAACCAUGCCCUUCUUGUUUUCUCUGCCUCCUGUUCUUCUUUUCUCUCUAAUCUCUCUUCUGCCUUGUACCUCUAGAGUUUCCAGUCGCUGUUUUAGGUCUCCUUCCUUCCACGAGGGGCCUGUUCUGGACUUUCCCACAUCGCAUUUCCCUGCUUAACUAGCUCAGUUCGUGUCUGCAUUAUAAAAGUGAAGUCAGGAGUGAUCUCACCUUAGCCUUGUAGGGUUUUAAUAACGUGUUUAUCUUGACAGGCUGGUGAUCUGUGGAAGAAGUGCUAGGGAAACCUGCAAUUGCUGGUUAACAUCUGAGGCAUGAAGUCUUUUCCUUUACUCCAUUCAGCCUUUUUCUAAACAUUUUUUUUGACAUUUGGUUUUAAUUAUGCACUCUUUUGCCAUUGAUUCUAUCGUUCAGGACUGACUUCAGUCAUGAACAGAAAUUAGAAAGCAGUUUUGCUGUCUGUGCUCAGGGAUCUAGCACGUGGUAGAGACAGCUACUUGUGUGUGAGGAGAUUUGCCUUUGCCUUUCCAUGUGAUGGUCUCUUCCACCAGCGAGCAGAUCUCACCCCCCACUCCCUUCACCUAGUCAGUAAUUUGGCUCAAUCUUCCUUGAGCCAAGAGUUUUGUGUGGGAGAGGAGGGAGAAACCUGCGACGUGAUCUUUGUGUCUUCUCUUAGGAAAAAAAAAAGUCUGCCUGUAAUAUUUUUAAGGCCGCUACACAAAGUGGCGAGUGGCCAGGAAAGACUGGGGACUUCCUUCCUUUUCCUCUUCCUCCAAGGUGAGAGGAGGGAUCCGUCUUUGUACGACUGCUCUGCAAGCAAAACUGAAAGUACGUGAGAAAAGGCAGCGUGGCCUCAGUGCGAGGGGGAGGCGGUUAUUGGCGUGUUAGCCCUCGUCAUCCUGUGUGUCAAAGGGAUAUGAUAUUGAAUGCGUUCAGGAACUUUUUUUUUUUUUACAGAAACAUACUCGGGGAAUUUUAUUGCUCCCUUUCAAACUCACUUGAUGUUUAAAAUGCACAUACUAUACUUAAUUACCAACGCUUGUGCUUUAGCCUUGGAAGAAGAGCUACAGAAGUAAAGGAAGGUAGAAAUAACCAGUGCAGCCAUCCGGGGUGCACUUUCACUUCAAGUGAGCCUCUUCAAUACUGGGGAAGAACUAGAAAAUGUGUGUUUGAGGAAGUCCGGGGUUGUUCCUGCCUGUGGUGGUUUGGACAUUGGGCAAUUCCUGGUGCAGGUGGAGGAUGGUUGGGUAGAGUGGCUGGACAAGGGCAGUGAUAGAACUUGGUGGGACUGAUAAACCAGGAGGAACCAGGUGAAAGAAGCCUUGGUAAUAUUGCAUAAGAUCCUCUACAGGUCAUAAAAGCUGGAGAAUGAGCAUCGGGAGAUUUCUUCUUGAAAAAACAGAGUAUGGGAAAUAUGACACUGAAGUCCUGUAACUCAAGAAUAGAGGCUUUGCUUCAUUCUGAGUUGUGUGGAAACAGACUCUGCAAUCCAGACAAGAACUGGCUGUGUUAACCUGCGCUUCUUGGAGUGAUGCCUCGAUCCCCUUUGCAGAAAUCAGUUUGUAUGGUAAUUGUACAGAUAUGAAGACGUGAGCUUGCCUGUGUACUUUCACACGAACCAUAAAUGUUUUCUGUUUGAAAACUGGCCUAAUUGUUUCCUAAAACCGAAGAAAGACAUUUUAAUGUUAAGUAUUAGGCUAAAAUAAAUUCUUGUGUGAACAAUGUGUGGGAUUCCGUGGAGUCAUGGCUAUAUAAUUGUACAGAUUUAUUUAUAUUUAAACGGUUUCCUGAGUUCCGAUUGUGCCUCUCGCUUGUAUAAAUACGGGACUGCUCCCUGCCUCCCAGUUUCACAGCGCCUUUGGCCGCGGUGAGUCCUGGUGCGUUAGCUGGCUACUGACUUUUAGUAGCCACUCAUAUGGUAUAGAUUUGCUAGGCUGACGCAAAAUGAAGCAAUUUAUCUCCGCCGUAAUACGGGCUGCUGAAAGCCUAUCACCCCGAAGCUCUGCUCGUUGCACUGUCACCCCGCUGAGUACCAAGACAAGUUCAAGGUUUUGGUUUUGGUCUUAGGCUUCACAAUGCUCGAUGGAAGUGGCCCAAGCUGCCCUAGGGAACACCUUCUGCAGUCACGACCGCUCAUGACAGCUGCAUUCCACGGGAACAAUGGCAUUGUUGGCAAAAUGGGAAAUGAAUGGGGGAGACAAACUGCUUCUGCAGUUAGCCCACAACUGAGGGAUGCAUUCCUGGAACACAUCAGAACGCCUGUAAACCUCGCUGUCCUCGGAAUUAAGCGUGAAAUUCACUUGCUUCCAUCUAGACGUUCCACACCGACCAGAAAAAAAAAAAUCCCUAGGGCGUGCACAGGGAUGAUCUCAGUUUCUUUUUAAAAAGGACUCCGACUAUAACAAUGUAUAUGGAAGUAUAGAAAAAAUAGUGUACAUUUUUUUCUGCUAUUCUUGUGCAGCUGUUCGUAGGCUUUCUUGUGGCUCCCAUACCCAAAGCUCUCAGUCUCCUGGCCAGUAAUAGAAAUGCUGUUUGAGCUUGCUUUUUGAGCGAAGGCAAAUCCCAGUCAAAGAGAAGACAAUAGGAAGCUAAGUGGAAAAGCAACACAGAAGACUGAUUUUAAAAAAAGAUUUAACUUAAUCUUACUUUUUCUGCACCCCUCCUUCACUUCUUAAUGUGCUUCAUUUUACAGAUGUGCUGUGGAUUGCUGAAGUGCAACAGUAAAAUUUAUUAGGUGUUGCAAAUGUUCCUGGGACAAGGACCUUACUGAUCCCCUGUGGAUCUCCUUUGAAUCAGAUGGCAUUUUUCUUCAGCCAGAUACCAGUUUCUUACAGACAUAGGAGGUGGUGCCCUCUAAAGUGGUGGCAGAGAAGAUGAAGGAGAUGGGUACUGCCUGUGUGCUGGUGAUCCUACAGCCUGAGUGCUCUCAGUGAUUCCCCUGGUUACUUCCCAGAAGUUGCCUACCUGUGUGGGUUACACCUGUGUGGCUUCUUGGCCAGUCUGUGGAAGAGCAGCUGGUCAUAACCACCAGGAAAGUGGAUCCCAGGCUGGAGAGUACUCAUUUUCAUCCCUGAAGCCUUUUAAAAGCAAGACAGGAAAGAGAAAUUGUAGAUGUUUUUACUGAAAUUUCUGUAUUUGUGAACCUAGGGACUCAGGGAAAAACAUAACAAAUAGGACAAUGUUGUGAAUACAUGUACUUACAGAAGGGCAGAUCCAUUUGCUGGACCUCAGUCUGAUAAUAAAAAAAGAAAAUGA